rnacentral:misc_RNA from 1 species
GUAGGUGAACCUGCGGAAGGAUCAUCCAACCCUGUGGUCCCGUGCGCGUCGAUAUAUGUGGGUAAAGUAGAAAUCCGGCGUUUUUGUUCAACCUGCGUGGUUGAGCAGGCGUCUAGAUAUUUGAAUAAUCGGGUAGCUGUACUUGCGAAGUUGCGGGAUGGGGCAGUCUGCGAGACUCACAGACCGAAGGCACCUAAUCAACCUACGCGGUUGGUGGUUCCUAACUGAUUAAACAAAUAUAUGGUAUUACUACGUCUUCUGCGAGAAGGCGGCCUACAUAUAGACGGCGUUUUUAACCAUACCAACUUAACUUAAUUGACUAAUACUGAAAUAAGUACGGCGCGCCCUGCUUUAUUUCGACAUACGAAACCGUAACAACUCUUAACAACGGAUAUCUUGGUUCUC